AAAAAAAAAAAAACAGAAGUAGUGACGUUAGAGGAUGGAAAAUAAGUUUGAAAAAUAUUCAUGGACACAAAUCAGUUAAACAAUCACCGCUGCUACAAUAAUACACCCUUUACAGGAGGGAUUUCACCCCAACAACUUGAAUCUGAUCCAACUUUGAACUAUCAUGCUAAGUUGUCAAGGUGAAAAUGUCCUACUCUAUCUUAUUUUACAGACACUACAGAAGUUCUGUUUUUAAUCUAAUCCUGCCAUCCUCAAUGCAUGAUACAUUUCAUUCUUUACAGAAAUUCCAGCUUCAGUAAACCUUUUCUGCUACAAAACAAAAACAAAUUUCCUUUCCUCCUCGCCUACAAAGAUAGCAAAAGGUUCUUGAUGCUCACCUUAGGCUACAAGAAUCAACACAAGUGUUUUCAAAUGCGAACUACCUUCAUUGCGACAGAGAUGCUUGUCAUGCAUGUCUGGAGGCAUUAUCGUGCAACUGUGCUGUUCUCACAUUGGGGUCAUCCUGCCGGAUGCCAUAACUGAAACCAGUUGGUGUACGGAAGAAAUCCAUCUGUCCCAUCCCAUGCAUGCUUUGUUGGGCAUUGUAGUAACCAUCAUGACUUGGUGCUAUUGAGUUCAACUGUCCCAGCCCCUGUAUAGUCUGUUGAUUCCCAUAGAAAUUAUCCCGUGGCGCCAUUAAGUUCAGUUGCACCUGCAGAGACACAAAACUCCAAAUAAAGACAAAAUCACUUGACUCCAUUGUUAAUAGGCUUAUAACCUAAAUUCACAGCACAUCAUACCAUCCCUGGCACACUUGGUUGUGCUCCAUAAUAGCCGUCUAAGGUUACUGCUCUUGAUCUUAAUUUGUCCUACAAAAUAAAUCACACUAGUAAAAAGACACCAUCUAGUUAAAUUAGAAUUGUUAAAGAAUUCCUUUAACACAAAAAUAAUUAAAUCAAACCAUCCUGCAUUAGUAAGAAUGCAUAAGACCAAUCGCAAUAUAAAAAUCAUGGUUCAAUAACAACAAAAUAUAUAAAUUAGACAAACCAUUUGUUGCAAGCUGUCUUCUGCCCCAACAGUAGUAACCUCCUGCUCAGAGUUCACCUUUCUUUUCUUAGUUGGAUUCUUUUUCUUAUUUGUCUUGUUCAUACUUCUGCUUUGAUUAUCUUCCUCGAUGCAGAGCAAACCAUGAGUAGCUGAGGUACCAGCUUCUGCAAGAGUCUUGCUAGAAUUAUUAGCACUGAUACAGUUUCCAAAGGCUUCUUCAAGAGCACGAAAUGCAAUAUUGUAACUCUCUUGAGACAAUGAUCCCUCUUCACUCAAUUUUAGUGCCCGUUGGCAUAAGUCAUUGUACCUUUGCACCCUUGAUUGUACCUGUUCAGAUUCUUCCCCCAAAAAAUGUCUGCUCUUCACAUCUUUUGUCCAACGUUUCAAAAUGUACUGGGAUGGAAUUGCAGACUGUUGACACAUCUGAAGAACAACCAGAGAAUGUCUACAGAGAUAACCCUUGUACUCGUAUAGUCGGCAUAUGCAAGCCACUUCUGACCUUAUCUGAUUCCACACAACAGUAAAAUCCUGGUGCUUUUCCAAAUCUUGAACUCUAAAACUAACACUUGUCUCAUCUUGGCUUUCCAUUUUAGGGUGGCAAGCAGUUACACCCAAGACCUCAACUUGAAAUUUCUUGAAU
rnacentral:misc_RNA from 1 species